GAUUGCUUUCCUCUUUCUAGCUUGCUGAGACCCUGGGCCUCAGGGAAUGGCCAUCUUGAUCUCUAAAGGAGCUGUUUCUGCCAAAGGAGGGUGUCACUUGGGAAAACCACACUGUGUGACCUGACUCUCAACUACAGAUGCUUCUACACAGAAGUAUUCAGAUAAUGGGUGGCAUUGAAGGAGAAAGCCACAGAAAGCCACAGAGAGCCUCCAGGCUGGAGUGUACUGGAGAGCUUUAUGUCCUUUUUAUGCAAGAGAAAGCUGAGGCUUCCUGGAGGAAGAGAAUGACGUGAAGCCCACACAGCUAUCCAGAGCUGAAACCAAUGCCAAGCAAGCUCAAAGGUUUGGGCUUUAUGAUUAGACACCCCACUUCGCUUUGCUUACCUGCCAAAUCCUGUAAGUGUGAGCUAUACUUCAUGUUUGUUUCCCAUAAAUACAUCCUUAUUGAUAAUGUCAAUAAAGUAAAUUUCAUCACCCACUUGGAAUGGCUCCGUCCUCGUCCCGGCAGUGUUUUGCCUUCCAGAAGAACAGAACAAUGCACCAUAGUUUCCAAGUGCCUUUCAUUUGCCACUGGGACCUUUGCUAUUUGGAUCAUACUUCCGCCUUCUCAGACCUUAACAAAUAAAAUAUCUUGGUGCAAGCAAUUUUCUCUGUAAUGGAGGGAAUUGCAAUGAUAAGCAAAUUUUACCCAAAUUCC
rnacentral:lncRNA from 1 species